UUACUUAGGGUUGAUCUUGUAUCGCUAUCAUUUGCCAAACUAAUGAAAAAAAUACUUUGGAGAGGGGCCAAGUUUUUCAGAAACGAUCUUUGGCCUCAGUCCUCCUAAUGAAACCAACCAAACCCACAAAAACCAAAACGUGGUCAUGGAAGAUUUCACAAUCAGUACCAAGUGACAGUGACCAUCACAUCAUUUUAUUCUUAUCUCUCUCUCUAUCUCUGUCUCUAAUGGCCCCUCUUUGUAAGGACCAAAAGCUCUAGUCGGUUCUCUCAAUCAUCCCAUCACCUCUACCGAAAGAAGAAAAGAGAUAUCAACGAAUUCUUUCUUAUAGAGACAACCAAAUUGAUUCAUGGAAUGAGUUUUUGGAAUCUGAUGAUCAUCACAAGUUCUAUCAUUGGCUUGUUUUUUUUUAGACAUAAACCAAACUAUUAAAAACCAAUAUCAUCUAAAAAAGAAGUGAAAGGAACUGUAACCAUUAACCAAACAUCUCUCUCAUUUCAUUCCCUUUGGAUGUCUUUACUUUAGGAUAAAAAAAAAGAAAAAAAAAAAGAUGAUACAUCAAAUUUGAAAUGUACAUUAUAGUGGGUGUGGUCCAAAAAUCAUAAAAUUUCAUCUUUACUUAUGUCCUAUCAUAUAUGAUCAUAUAACCUUAUUGCCUAAUCAAAACCACAUAUUUUCCAUGUCUCCAACAUUAGGUUCUUUUUUGUUUUCUAAGUUGUUCUAAUUUCUUUUUGAAACAACCCAAUAUAAUAUUUUAUUUUACAUGUAUGUUCCUAAAUUACAGUAUUAUACUUUAUCAAUUUUUAUAGCUAAUCAUUUUUUUUCUCAAAUCCUCGUGUAAAUCUAACAACUAGGUCGAAUUUUUUUUGGCUUAAACAAUCAUCGCCUUGAUUCGAUUUUGGGUAGUCAAAACAGUUUUUUUCUUAUUUAAUACUAGUCAUUCUCUAUUUUGAUGUAGAACAACUAAAAUAGCAUAUCUAGUUCCUAUAAUUAGAUUGAGACAUUGGGUUAAAAGACCUAAUCAGAUUUAAAACGUAUCUAUCUCUAUCUCU
rnacentral:lncRNA from 1 species